rnacentral:ncRNA from 1 species
UAAAGUUUUUUGAUUUCGGUAUCGGUAUCUCCCAUCAACAUAUUGAUCUCUCCUUAUUUCCUCGGUUGAUUGCCGAGGUUUUU